rnacentral:rRNA from 1 species
AGGGUUCGAUUCUGGCUCAGGAUGAACGCUGGCGGCGUGCUUAACACAUGCAAGUCGAACGGAGUUAGAUGAAACCUAGUGAUUCUAAACUUAGUGGCGGACGGGUGAGUAACGCGUGGGUAACCUGCCAUAUACAGGGGGAUAACACUUAGAAAUAGGUGCUAAAACCGCAUAAGCGCACAGUGAGGCAUCUCACAGUGUGAAAAAACUCCGGUGGUAUAUGAUGGACCCGCGUCUGAUUAGGCAGUUGGUGAGGUAACGGCCCACCAAACCUACGAUCAGUAGCCGGCCUGAGAGGGUGAACGGCCACAUUGGGACUGAGACACGGCCCAAACUCCUACGGGAGGCAGCAGUGGGGAAUAUUGGACAAUGGGGGAAACCCUGAAUCCAGCGACGCCGCGUGAGUGAAGAAGUAUUUCGGUAUGUAAAGCUCUAUCAGCAGGGAAGAAAAUGACGGUACCUGACUAAGAAGCCCCGGCUAACUACGUGCCAGCCGCCGC